GGGCAAGGGACAGGGUAAGGGGCAAGGGACAGGGUAAGGGGCAAGGGACAGGGUAAGGGGCAAGGUAAGGGGCAAGGGACAGGGUAAGGGGCAAGUGACAGGGUAAGGAGCAAGGGACAAGGUGAGGUGCAGGGUAAGGAGCAAGGGACAAGGUGAGGGACAGGGUAAGGAGCAAGGGACAGGGUAAGGGGCAAGGGAAAGGGUAAGGAGCAAGGGAAAGGGUAAGGAGCAAGGGAAAGGGUAAGGAGCAAGGGACAGGGUAAGGGGCAAGGGACAGGGUAAGGAGCA